rnacentral:tmRNA from 2 species
GGGGAUGACAGGCAUAGACAUGUGGUCUCCUUCUUUCCGCGCAUUGUGGAACUCCAGUAAUUCCUUAAACUGCUGGAACAAUUAAGUGCAAAAACCUUAAUUUCAAAAGCUAAGUCUAUCGUCUCACCAUAUUUUGGUGAACGCGGGCUCGCUUUCGCUUACGCUUCGGCGUAAGUGACAUCUAUUUCCCCGACGUCCGAUAGGGAUACAUAGGUGUUAUAGAUUCGGAAUCGAGCGUGCCGCAGGUAGUCGUAGACUAUCUCUUUCUCGGCUCACGCUUUAACUUUAGAGAAUCGGCAUCAAGACGCUUCUGUUACCCUUUUAGUCUUGAUGUUUAAAACCCGCAAGGGUAAAGAGUAACUACGCAAUGUAGAACCGGAAAAAAGAAUCAUGUGCACGCGCGUUCGAUUCGCGCCAUCUCCAUUC